CAGAUUGAUCUAUGCAGGAACUGGGCAUGGAGCCUCAUAAUGAGGGCUCCAGGUUCUGAAGAGGUGUGCCAUAGGCCACCAUGCUAGAUAAAACUUCUUUAAAGCACCUGAGAGAGAGAGAGAAAGAACACCUCCAGAGAGCAGCCUGCUGAUAGAACCCACUUCUAACAUUGUGUGACCAGUGAUAGGACCCAUGGGAAUGGUGUCAAGCUGCUGCAGGAGAGGUUCAGACUAGACAUCAGGAAGAGGUUCUUCACUGAGAGGAUUGUCGUGCACUGGAACGAUCUCCCCAGGGAAGUAGUCACUGCACCAAGCCUGUCGGAGUUUAAGAAGCAUUUGGACUGUGCACUUAGUCACAUGGUCUGAAUUCUUGGGUUGACCUGUGUGGUGCCAGGAGUUGGGCUCGAUGAUCCUUGUAGGUCCCUUCCAACUCAGGAUAUUCUAUGAUUCUAUGACUCCACCUCUAAACAGUUCUGCUGGUCACUCUUGUUCUUGUCCCAUGUUUAGAGAAGAUGAUGCAUGUCUGGGUGCCACCUGCACAAACAUCUUCUGGAAAGUGCUGGUAUCUAAUGUAAUUUUGAACUGUUAUUGCUUUAAACUGUAUCUGGCCACAAACUUCCAAAACAUGAAUGGAGUGGUGUCUGUGAAUUUGUUGUACUGACUCCUUAUGUACUUGCUUGUAAUUCUGAAACAAAUAAGAAAUUUUGUACUAA